rnacentral:rRNA from 1 species
CAGUCGCCGCGGUAAUACGGAGGGUGCAAGCGUUAAUCGGAAUUACUGGGCGUAAAGCGCACGCAGGCGGUUUGUUAAGUCAGAUGUGAAGUCCCCGAGCUUAACUUGGGAACUGCAUUUGAAACUGGCAAGCUAGAGUCUUGUAGAGGGGGGUAGAAUUCCAGGUGUAGCGGUGAAAUGCGUAGAGAUCUGGAGGAAUACCGGUGGCGAAGGCGGCCCCCUGGACAAAGACUGACGCUCAGGUGCGAAAGCGUGGGGAGCAAACAGGAUUAGAUACCCGCGUAGUCCCUGUCUCUUAUAC